rnacentral:antisense_RNA from 1 species
AAAUCUGAGACAGCCUUGGUCUGAGGGAGAAAAGACAGAGAAUUCAUGUGCUGCCCAGGCAUAGCCACAUAGCAGGUGGACAUCCCUGGACACUUUUCUGAGUGGCAGAGAUUGGCCUGGAACCCAGCUCACAAUAUGACCGUGGAAAAUUUUACAUAAGCUUAAGAUAAGUUCAAUUACACGAGUGAUUAUUAGAGUUGUCCCAUUGUUAUCUACAGAGGGGUGUGGAGCACGAGAGAAAGCACAG